rnacentral:rRNA from 1 species
GUUAGAACGCUCGUAGUCGGAUUUCGGGGCGGUCCGACCGGUCUGCCGACGGGUACGCACUGGUCGGCGCGUCCUUCCUUCCGGAGACCGUGCCUACUCUUAACUGAGCGGGGGCGGGAGACGGAACGUUUACUUUGAAAAAAUCAGAGUGUUUCAAGCAGGCAGCUCGCUCUUGCAUGGAUUAGCAUGGGAUAAUGAAAUAGGACUUUGGUGCUAUUUUGUUGGUUUCGAACACCGAAGUAAUGAUGAGAAGGGACAGUCAGGGGCACUCGUAUUCCGCCGAGAGAGGUGAAAUUCUCAGACCAGCGGAAGACGAACCACUGCGAAAGCAUUUGCCAGGGAUGUUUUCACUGAUCAAGAACGAAAGUUAGGGGAUCGAAGACGAUCAGAUACCGUCGUAGUCUUAACCAUAAACCAUGCCGACUAGGGAUUGGGGGAUGUUCACAUAUUGACUCCCCCAGCACCUUACGGGAAACUAAAGUCUUUGGGUUCCGGGGGGAGUAUGGUCGCAAGGCUGAAACUUAAAGGAAUUGACGGAAGGGCACCACCAGGUGUGGAGCCUGCGGCUUAAUUUGACUCAACACGGGGAAACUUACCAGGUCCAGACAUUGUGAGGAUUGACAGAUUGAGAGCUCUUUCUUGAUUCGAUGGGUGGUGGUGCAUGGCCGUUCUUAGUUGGUGGAGUGAUUUGUCUGGUUAAUUCCGUUAACG